rnacentral:lncRNA from 1 species
UAGUGAUAAGCCUCGUUUGGUUAGGUGCCAUGAGUGUCAAGGAAUAGGUCACUAUAGGAAUGAAUGCCCUAGUUAUAAGAAGAACCAAAGAAAAGGGAAAGGUAAGGCCUUAGUUGUCUCACUUACAGAUAAUGAAUCUGAGACCAGUGAUAGGCAGGAAUCUUCUAGUAGUGAGGACGAAGGAAACUAUAUGGCAUUUGUAUCGACUGUUAAGAGUGAAUCUGACAAAGAAAGUGACAAGGUUGAGGAAGAACUUCCUAACGAUAAUUCUAGUAAUGAGGAUGAGGAUGACAUAGACAUACAAGAAGCUUAUCAACUUUUGUUUAAAGAGAGUCUUAAAAUCAAAAAGGUCAAUAAAGCCCUACUCAAAAAGGUUGAUGAACUUGAAAGAGAAAAAGAGAAACUUGCUAGUAAUCUUCAGGAUUCACUUAAGAGUGGUAGUGAGUUAAAGUGUGUCAAUGAGAAGUUAGAGGACAAGAUUAAGACUUUGACUAGUGAAUUGGAGAAAUCUAAUGCUCAUCUUCAGACUUUCAUAAGUGGGACUAAGAAAUUGGACAAUAUUUUGGGAAUGAAUAAGCCUGCAGGAGAUAGGAAAGGUCUAGGAUACGUUGAGGGUAACACACAUGUUACUAGACCAUCUAAGACUGUGUUUGUUUCUGCCUCUAAGAAAGCUAAUGCUGUCGGCAGUUCAAAAAAGGGUAAGAAUGUUCCGAGAGAACAGAGUCAUCAAUCACGUAGGAACUUCAAUCCCAGAUACCCACAGACACGUACCUUUGAGCCUAGGUUCAUUCCCACCUGUCACCACUGUGGAGCUCUAGGACACACUAGGCCUAGAUGUUAUAAGUUAGGCAAUGAGCGUAGAAAUCAUAACAUUCCUAGUCAGGUUAGCUUUCUGUCUAAUCAGGUUAGUCAUUUGACUGAGAUGCUUACUAAGCUUACUAGGAGUACUUUAUCAUCUAAGAAAGUUUGGGUCAAAAAGGGUGAUCUAGCUAGACAUUCAGGUCAAGAAAACUGUUUUGUUGCUCAUGUUGCAUUAAAAGCCCAAAAUUACAAUAUGUGGUAUCUAGAUAGUGCAUGUUCUAGGCAUAUGUGUGGUAAUAAAGCUUUGUUCACUACUCUUGAUGAAUGUAAUGGUGGUAUGGUUACCUUUGGAGAUGGGGGUUCUGCACCUAUUCUUGGCAAAGGUACUGUACAAAUGCAUGGAUUACCUGUGAUCUCUAAUGUGCUUUAUGUGGAAGGCUUAAAGUCUAAUUUGUUAAGCAUUAGUCAGAUUUGUGAUGAUGAUUUUGAGGUUAGCUUUGUGCAAAAGAGAUGUACCGUGUAUGAUUCGUCCGGUGGGGUGGUCCUUGAAGGGGUUAGAACGUCUGACAAUUGUUAUGGAGUUUUGCCUAAUUCUAAUUAUGUGUGUAGG